rnacentral:tRNA from 1 species
GCGGGGGUUGCCGAGCUAGGCCAAAGGCGCAGCGUUGAGGGCGCUGUCCCGUAGGGGUCCAGGGGUUCGAAUCCCCUCCCCCGCA